AUCUCUUCGGAGUGACGAGCUUUUAACUUAGUGGCGGACGGGUGAGUAACACGUGAGCAACCUGCCUUUCAGAGGCGGAUAACGGCUGGAAACGGUCGCUAAUACCGCAUGACAUAUUGAAUCGGCAUCGGUUUAAUAUCAAAGGAGCAAUCCGCUGAAAGAUGGGCUCGCGUCUGAUUAGAUAGUUGGUGGGGUAACGGCCUACCAAGUCGACGAUCAGUAGCCGGACUGAGAGGUUGAACGGCCACAUUGGGACUGAGAUACGGCCCAGACUCCUACGGGAGGCAGCAGUGGGGAAUAUUGCACAAUGGGGGAAACCCUGAUGCAGCAACGCCGCGUGAAGGAAGACGGUUUUCGGAUUGUAAACUUCUUUUCUUAGUGAAGAAGCAAGUGACGGUAGCUAAUGAAUAAGCAUCGGCUAACUACGUGCCAGCAGCCGCGGUAAAACGUAGGAUGCGAGCGUUAUCCGGAAUUACUGGGUGUAAAGGGAGCGCAGGCGGGACUGCAAGUUGGAUGUGAAAUACCGCAGCUUAACUGCGGAGCUGCAUCCAAAACUGUAGUUCUUGAGUGGAGUAGAGGCAAGCGGAAUUCCGAGUGUAGCGGUGAAAUGCGUAGAUAUUCGGAGGAACACCAGUGGCGAAGGCGGCUUGCUGGGCUCUAACUGACGCUGAGGCUCGAAAGUGUGGGGAGCAAACAGGAUUAGAUACCCUGGUAGUCCACACUGUAAACGAUGAUAGCUAGGUGUGGGGGGUCUGACCCCUUCCGUGCCGGAGUUAACGCAAUAAGCUAUCCACCUGGGGAGUACGGCCGCAAGGGUGCAACUCAAAUGAA
rnacentral:rRNA from 1 species